UACGGAGGAUCCAAGCGUUAUCCGGAUUCACUGGGUUUAAAGGGUGCGUAGGUGGGUUGGUAAGUCAGUGGUGAAAUCCCCGAGCUUAACUUGGGAACUGCCAUUGAUACUAUCAGUCUUGAAUACCGUGGAGGUCAGCGGAAUAUGUCAUGUAGCGGUGAAAUGCUUAGAUAUGACAUAGAACACCAAUUGCGAAGGCAGCUGGCUACUCGGAUAUUGACACUGAGGCACGAAAGCGUGGGGAGCAAACAGG
rnacentral:rRNA from 1 species